GAUGAACGCUAGCGGCAGGCUUAACACAUGCAAGUCGAGGGGUAUAGUAGCAAUACUAGAGACCGGCGCACGGGUGCGUAACGCGUAUGCAACCUACCUUUUACAGAGGGAUAGCCCCAGAGAAAUUUGGAUUAAUACCUCAUAGUGUUAUUAGAUGGCAUCAUUUGAUAACUAAAGUUCCAACGGUAAAGAUGGGCAUGCGUCCUAUUAGCUAGAUGGUAAGGUAACGGCUUACCAUGGCUACGAUAGGUAGGGGUCCUGAGAGGGAGAUCCCCCACACUGGUACUGAGACACGGACCAGACUCCUACGGGAGGCAGCAGUGAGGAAUAUUGGACAAUGGGCGCAAGCCUGAUCCAGCCAUGCC
rnacentral:rRNA from 1 species